UGUAUCUCUUAGCCUUUGGCACGUCUGAGUGGAAUCAUACAAAAAUGAAUCAAAACUUUCAACAACGGAUCUCUUGGUUCUGGCAUCGAUGAAGAACGCAGCGAAAUGCGA
rnacentral:rRNA from 1 species